AGACUGUCUUAAGAUCGGCGACUCUACUGUUGAAGAUGUACAACAAUUCACUUACCUUGGAAGUAUUGUUAGUACAUCAGGAGGCACAGACGAAGACAUAUCCGCAAGAAAAAAGAAAGCACAACAGAUAUUUUCCAUUUUCAAACCUGUUUGAAGGAGUAAUGCUUUAAGAACUAGCACAAAGUUAAGUAUAUUUACCACCAAUGACAAAUCUGUACUCUUAUACGGAUCAGAAACCUGAGGAAAAACAGUUGCAUCAACCAAAUCAAUACAAACUUUUGUCAAUAAGUGUUUAAGAAACAUCCCUAACAUCAGAUGGCCAGACAAAAUAUCCAACAACGAGUUAUGGAGAAGAACUAAACAACAGCCAACAACUCAGACAAUAAGAACAAGAAAGUGGAAGUGGAUCGGGCA
rnacentral:lncRNA from 1 species